rnacentral:rRNA from 1 species
AACGAACGCUGGCGGCGUGUCUUAAGCAUGCAAGUCGAGCGGCAAGGGCAGCAAUGCCCCUAGAGCGGCGGACUGGUGAGUAACGCGUGGGUGAUCUACCUCGGGGUUGGGGAUAGCCAUUAGAAAUAGUGGGUAAUACCGAAUACGCUCCCCUGAUUACGGUCAGGGGAGGAAAAGCGCUACGGCGCUGACCUGAGAUGAGCCCGCGUCCCAUUAGCUAGUUGGUGAGGUAACGGCCCACCAAGGCUAUGAUGGGUAGGCGGCCUGAGAGGGUGUACGCCCACACUGGGACUGAGAUACGGCCCAGACUCCUACGGGAGGCAGCAGCUAAGAAUAUUCCGCAAUGGACGAAAGUCUGACGGAGCGACGCCGCGUGGAUGAUGAAGGCCGGAAGGUUGUAAAAUCCUUUUGUCGGGGAAGAAUAACCA